GGUCUGUAACUGACACUGAGGCGCGAAAGCAAGGCGAGCAAACGGAUUAGAUACCCUGAUAGUCAACGCCGGACGAUGAGUGCUAACUGUAAGAGGGAUUCCGCCCGGGGCUAAUAACGCAUAACACUCCGCAUGGGAAAUAAGGCCGCAAGGCUGAAACUCAAAGGAAUUGACGGGGGCCCGCACAAGCGGUGGAGCAUGUGGUUUAAUUCGAAGCAACGCGAAGAACCUUACCAGGUCUUGACAUCCUCUGAAAACCCUAGAGAUAGGGCUUCUCCUUCGGGAGCAGAGUGACAGGUGGUGCAUGGUUGUCGUCAGCUCGUGUCGUGAGAUGUUGGGUUAAGUCCCGCAACGAGCGCAACCCUUGAUCUUAGUUGCCAUCAUUAAGUUGGGCACUCUAAGGUGACUGCCGGUGACAAACCAGAAAGCCACGGAUAACUAAAUCAGCAGCCCCUAAUACCUAGGCGACAAACGUGAUACAAUGGACGUAAAGAGCGCGCAGGUGGAGCUAAUCUCAUAAAACCGGCUCAACCGUGGAGGCUGAAACUCGCAGACAUGAGUGGAAGAGGAAAGCGGAUCCAUGCCGCGGUGAAUACGUAGAGACAUGGACACACCAGUCACAACACGAGGUCUGUAACACACGAAGUCGGUGGGGUAACCUUUAUGGAGCCAGCCGCCUAAGGUGGGACAGAUGAUUGGGGUGAAGUCGUAACAAGGUAGCCGUAUCGGAAGGUGCGGCUGGAUCACCUCCUUUCU
rnacentral:rRNA from 1 species